GCUACAGAAUAAACUCCAGCUAAGGUAGUCAUUGUCCGCUGUGCUAAGAUUGGAUUGAAAUAAUUUUUGACUAAUAAUAAACUAAAUAUUGAGACGGUAAAAAGUCAAUCUCUAGGUUAUGUUAAACUGUUUUGUUAUUAAUUCGUUUGAAUUUUAGAGUGGGGAUAGAAUUUUCUAGAUGAUACUUAACUCUUUAGGUGAUACAACUAAACCGCGACCUUUUCUCGCUCCUCUAUAAACAGUUUCAAUAAUGUCAAUCAUCUCUUGCUUGUCCUCCAAGGUC